GAUGAACGCUGGCGGCGUGCUUAACACAUGCAAGUCGAACGGAAAGGCUCCUGCUUGCCGGGGUACUCGAGUGGCGAACGGGUGAGUAACACGUGGGUGAUCUGCCCUGCACUUCGGAAUAAGCGGGGGAAACUGGGUCUAAUACCGGAGAGGACGAUGGUUUGGAUGCCAUUGUGGAAAGUUUUUCGGUUUGGGAUGAGCUAGGGGCCUAUCAGCUUGUUGGUGGGGUAAUGGCAUACCAAGGCGUCGACGGUUAGUCGGCCUGAGGGGGUGUACGGCCACAUUGGGACUGCGAUACGGCGCAGACGCCAACGGGAGGCAACAGUGGGGAAUAUUGUCCAAUGGGGGCACGCCUGAUGCGACGGCGCCGCGUGGGGGAUGAAGGCCUUCGGGUUGUGAACUGCUUUAGCUUGGGACGAAGCGGAAGUGACGGUACCUGGAGAAGAAGCACCGGCUAACUACGUG
rnacentral:rRNA from 1 species